GCUCCCAGUGAGGGAUCAGAAUCUCGCUGUGUUAAAUUUCUCCCAUUGCAACACUUUUUCUACUCUCUCUUUUUCUAUGAUCCCUAAAGGCAAGUUAAGUGUAAUCCCUAAUGAUAUUCCACCUCAAGUUCUAGGAGACAGUGACUGUGACCAACUCAGUCGAGAUCGAUGAGCGACACGUUUGGGUGCAAGGAAAAUGCUUUCGACAUGAAUAGAGUGUUCCCCGGCAAGACAAAACCCUAAAGGCCCAGAUACUUUAGGAAUCAAAGCUUAGGUUCAUCUUCCAUAAGUCGACACCUACAGUGUGGCUUGAUAAGGUCUACAAAGCAAGCAUGGAGCACAGCUGUGGAGCAGACAGGCAGAGGGCCCAGCCCAGACUGGCUCAGCCAUAAAUGCUCUCUGGAGGAGAAUGAACUCUGUGAUCUCCAUGUAUUUGAAUGACCUCAGCUGUCCUGCAGCUGGCUGGCCUCUGCCUUCCUCUCCAGAUCAUCCGGGAACUGUGCUUUCUGGCUUCUGCUUCUCAGCUUGGCCGUUAGCUGUGGGAAGCCACACAGGGCUGAACUGUCUCCCUCCCUGUCUCCUCUGUUUGUCUCCUGCGUCUCUACAAUAGCUCUGCUUAAUAAGGAGUCUGGGAAGACAGCUCCUCCAGCAUUUCCACAGCUCCGCUUUGUGAGUAGAAGACAAAGGUGACUUCCUAGCCCACCCAAUCUGAAACAAGCUGGCAAAUGAAAUUUCCAUUCACCAACUGCAACUGAUUUGUAGUCCUUGAGCACCAACCGUAUGUUUCAGCUCUUCACAGUGUCACUGCUUCAAACUUGCCCUCCCCUGGAUUGUAUUCCCUUCGGUUUACUAGGAACUGUGGAGGGGUCAGUCUGUCCCGGAAGUGUGAGGACCAUGUUACAGAGGUGGGGGUGGCCCACAUCUUCCCUCUCCUGGAUAGACCCUGGAAGCUCAGUUCUUCAGAAAGAAGACGUGGACCCCGGAGAUAAGGCAGAAGGCAGUGCUGGGGCAGUGCACCUUCAACCAUCCAUGGAGAAUGACCCAUGUUUCCAAGACUCUGGCAGACACCUGGAGCAGAGUCCUGGCCGUGCAAGGGCUCAUGACCGUGUGUGUGGAUUGGUGUGGGACCCAGGCCCACCAAGCGGCACCUAAGCACCGAGGAGCUGCACAGUGCCAGGCUUUUCUCAAUUGUCCCACUCUAUAGGGCAAUGCACAGGGGCCUUACGGACUAGAACUGCACUGGGGGGAAUUCUUGGCUAUUAGUGUGGUCUUCAGGUUUCCUCCUGAGGUGGGGCAUGGGGAAGCCCUAGAAGGACAACAGCUGCCUAUGGUCUGAGCUGGAGUGGUGGGGAUGGAGUACUCCCCAGUAAAACACUGAAAACAGCUGGGAAGCCCCAGCAGAGUACUCUUCAGCGGGAAAUUCACAGCCCCACUUGUCUAUGAAAACACAAAAUCUCUCUGCCUCCAGGUUGAGUAACUCUGUACCAGGGGUGUGCUGAAGGGCUUGGGAGAAAUACCUCUCUAGGUGUCUCAGAAAAAGCAGAUUCUCUGAGAAGGUAGUGAUAGACUCUAAGUUGUGGCCAAGUUAAUUUCCAGGGAGUUAACAUUUUCCCCUUACAGUUAUUUUUGUGUACUUAUGUGACUAUGUGUUCUAGCUUUUGCACCUUUUCCACUGGGUUAAUGAUUAUCUGCCUCAAACUCUCUUUAUCUUGAAAAUUAAUUUUAAAAGUAGCCAUUAAUUUAAGUGCCUAUAUUUACACCCUGACAGUAUCCCUGAAUUAAACAUUUACCUAUCACCAUAGUAAACAUUAACAG
ensembl:lincRNA